UCCAGUUUGGUACAUCUCUCUUUAUGACACACGGAUCUUUUCCUUGUUCCAACUUGGAGAUGACAUCUGGUUUGGAAACUGGAUACCCUAUGAAAUGAAAUCGUGAAGAAUCUGGAUUAAUUAUAUCAAAGGAAGAAGAGAAGGGGCUUGCAGGUAAGGAAUUUGCCUUAAAUCUCAGAGGAGACUCUGGACAUGGACUUUUCAGCAAUGCUGAAACUGUUCGGACUCUGGCAACUCUUGGAGGUUGAAAGCAGUCUUGUUUACCGGGGAACCAACCAGGAGACAUGCAUAUCCAUGAUGUUAAGUGAAGAUAAGCCUGAAGGUUUCAGUCGCAGCUCUGAACGCGGAAAUAACCCUGUAUCUUAGUCGUAGCCCCUCUUAGUUACCAACAGAGGAAGUAUAGUCAGCCCAAGGGUCCACCC